rnacentral:rRNA from 3 species
UAUACCGUGAAACUGCGAAUGGCUCAUUAAAUCAGUUAUCGUUUAUUUGAUAAUACCUUACUACUUGGAUAACCGUGGUAAUUCUAGAGCUAAUACAUGCUGAAAAUCCCGACUUCGGAAGGGAUGUAUUUAUUAGAUAAAAAACCAAUGCCCUUCGGGGCUCUUUGGUGAUUCAUAAUAACUUUACGGAUCGCAUAGCCUUGCGCUGGCGACGGUUCAUUCAAAUUUCUGCCCUAUCAACUUUCGAUGGUAAGGUAUUGGCUUACCAUGGUUUCAACGGGUAACGGGGAAUUAGGGUUCGAUUCCGGAGAGGGAGCCUGAGAAACGGCUACCACAUCCAAGGAAGGCAGCAGGCGCGCAAAUUAUCCAAUACCAACACGGUGAGAUAGUGACAAUAAAUACUGAUACAGGGCUCUUUUGGGUCUUGUAAUUGGAAUGAGUACAAUUUAAACCUCUUAACGAGGAACAAUUGGAGGGCAAGUCUGGUGCCAGCAGCCGCGGUAAUUCCAGCUCCAAUAGCGUAUAUUAAAGUUGUUGCAGUUAAAAAGCUCGUAGUUGAAACUUGGGCCUGGCUGGCGGGUCCGCCUCACCGCGUGCACUCGUCCGGCCGGGCCUUCCUUCUGAAGAACCUCAUGCCCUUCACUGGGCGUGUUGGGGAAUCAGGACUUUUACUUUGAAAAAAUUAGAGUGUUCAAAGCAGGCCUUUGCUCGAAUACGUUAGCAUGGAAUAAUAAAAUAGGGCGUGCGUUUCUAUUUUGUUGGUUUCUAGAGACGCCGCAAUGAUUAACAGGAACAGUCGGGGGCAUCAGUAUUCCGUUGUCAGAGGUGAAAUUCUUGGAUUUACGGAAGACUAACUACUGCGAAAGCAUUUGCCAAGGAUGUUUUCAUUAAUCAGUGAACGAAAGUUAGGGGAUCGAAGACGAUCAGAUACCGUCGUAGUCUUAACCGUAAACUAUGCCGACUAGGGAUCGGGCGAUGUUCUUUUUCUGACUCGCUCGGCACCUUACGAGAAAUCAAAGU